rnacentral:rRNA from 1 species
CAGCCGCCACGGGAAUACAGAGGAUGCAAGCGUUAUCCGGAAUGAUUGGGCGUAAAGCGUCUGUAGGUGGCUUUUCAAGUCCGCCGUCAAAUCCCAGGGCUCAACCCUGGACAGGCGGUGGAAACUACCAAGCUGGAGUACGGUAGGGGAAGAGGGAAUUUCCGGUGGAGCGAUGAAAUGCGUUGAGAUCGGAAAGAACACCAACGGCGAAAGCACUCUGCUGGGCCGACACUGACACUGAGAGACGAAAGCUAGGGGAGCAAAUGGGAUUAGAUACCCCCGUAGUCCCUGUCUCUUAUAC